rnacentral:rRNA from 1 species
CCUACGGGGGUCUGCAGUGGGGAAUAUUGGACAAUGGGCGAAAGCCUGAUCCAGCCAUGCCGCGUGUGUGAAGAAGGCCUUCGGGUUGUAAAGCACUUUCAGUGGGGAAGAAAGCCUUGGGGCUAAUACCCUCGAGGAAGGACAUCACCCACAGAAGAAGCACCGGCUAACUCCGUGCCAGCAGCCGCGGUAAUACGGAGGGUGCGAGCGUUAAUCGGAAUGACUGGGCGUAAAGCGCGCGUAGGCGGUCUGAUAAGCCGGUUGUGAAAGCCCCGGGCUCAACCUGGGAACGGCAUCCGGAACUGUCAGGCUAGAGUGCAGGAGAGGAAGGUAGAAUUCCCGGUGUAGCGGUGAAAUGCGUAGAGAUCGGGAGGAAUACCAGUGGCGAAGGCGGCCUUCUGGACUGACACUGACGCUGAGGUGCGAAAGCGUGGGUAGCAAACAGGAUUAGAUACCCCAGUAGUC